CGUAGGUGGCAAGCGUUGUCCGGAGUUACUGGGUGUAAAGGGCGUGUAGGCGGGAAAAUAAGUCAGAUGUGAAAUUCCAUGGCUCAACUGUGGCGCUGCAUCUGAAACUAUUUUUCUUGAGUGAUGGAGAGGAAAGCGGAAUUCCUAGUGUAGCGGUGAAAUGCGUAGAUAUUAGGAGGAACACCAGUGGCGAAGGCGGCUUUCUGGACAUUAACUGACGCUGAGGCGCGAAAGCGUGGGGAGCAAACAGGAUUAGAUACCCUGGUAGUCCACGCUGUAAACGAUGGAUACUAGGUGUAGGAGGUAUCGACCCCUUCUGUGCCGGAGUUAACACAAUAAGUAUCCCACCUGGGGAGUACGGCCGCAAGGUUG
rnacentral:rRNA from 1 species